AAGGGGGGCUUUAGUAAACCUUCAGGAAGGUAGAUUAUCCCACGAAAUGCUGGCAGAGCUUCAGCCUUUGUGCACGCCUGUUGUGCGUGUACGUGCAUGUGUGUGUGUGUGUGUGCAUGUGUGUGUGUGUGUGUGUUUUGAGUAGAGAAUAAAGAAAAAAAAAAACAGCGGCUCCUGAGUCUCAAUGAAUCCGGGCCAGGCUCCACAAAAGGGGCUGCAGAACAAAAGGCCUGCAAGCUGAGGAGGUGCAGCGUGGAGGCGCAGCCCGAUCUCACGCUUUGUUAACCCGCCGACAUUACAGCGAGUAAAAACUGAGACGAGCGCCUCGCUUGUCAAUUACCUGCCUGUUGAACACAGAGCUGACCGCUCGACACCUCAGGCGGCGCGACCGGUUUACCGACGCAUUGGGUUAAUGAAUGUGUGUCGCAAUGCCGAGCACACGCGGAGAAAAGAGAUUUGUUUUCAAGUAUCAGAAAUCAUGUUUAGUGGAGAAAUUUGUAUCAAGCAAAGAAAACAUUAUUGAGAGCAAAUGAAAGUCUUUUGUCUCCAAUCCAAGGGAGCGCGGCGGGAAAACCAUGAAACGAGUUAGCAUGUUUGCACGACCACCCGUCUACAAGUCAUUACGCCCUUUUACUCAUAAGCCUUGAAAUACGGUCCGUAAAUAUUCCACUCGUGAGUUUCAAAGCUUUUACUUCUCUUAUGGAAGUGAUUGCUAACAAGUAGCUAAAUGCUUCUAAACUUCAGGCCAAAGCAAAGUGAUGUGAACAUGGCGUGGUUCGUUUCUUAGAUUUUUACUUUGAUCGUAUCCUGAAAUCAAAUUUAUUGAGAUCAUAUUGCUCAUGAAAACAAGUAUUAUGUCAACAACGUAAAUACUUCUUUGCCUAAAAAUGAUACUUUCUUCUGUGUUCAAAAAUUCAGAAUUCUAAGCCAAGUAUAAUUAGCUUUCUGGCUCCGUGUGACGUUGUACUUUAUCACACAGUUCAUCAGGGGGAAUCUACAGAGAUAACGAACCUAGUUCAUGCACAAAGAGACGGGACCAAUGAGACGGGAUAGAAGGGUCGCCGUGGGGUCGCCGUGGGUCACCAAUCUCUCUUUAGGGUCCCGCCUCUCAGAGAGUGGAUGAACCAAAUAAAAUGUCAAACAUGCACAAUUCAGUCAGUUCAGUGUUUUAUUUUUACCCCCUAUAAUAAAAUUGCAUGGGCGGAGCUUCACAUGUCCAACCACAGUGCAUAGUAAUUCCCUCAAGUGCACACACACACACACACACACACACACACACACACAAUCCAGGGGAUUAUAAAGCGCAGGCACUUGGGAAAGGUUCCAGGCGACCCCGGCUGAUGUUUGUGGUUUUCUGUGACUGGAUCCAGCUGUUUGGAGCCGCAGAAUGCCCCGAGAGGCGCAGUCAAUUUGGCAGAUUAGCGUAUUGACAGAUGGCGUGCCAUCCAUCCAGCAAUCAAUAUGCGCUGUUUUAAUCCCUCCCCAUGUUUACCCAAGAACGUGGAUGCAGAAGCGCCGUUUUCCCACCGUCGCAUUACAUUCUCACCCGCUGCAGGAAUCCCUUUCUGGGCAUCGAAAGCAGCACUCUGCCCUCACCCAGAGGGUGACGCGCUCCCCCUCUCUGGGAGCGGGGCGGCCCAAUCGAGCAAUCAGACAAGACAUCCAUCACCAUCCCGUGGGGUGGAGUAAAUGACCUUGAUGUAGUCUUCACACUCAAUUUCAGAUACCCUUGGGCUCCAUUAUGAGGGGACUUAAGCGGCCGGCCUUCACAUUUGAUUCCUGCGAUACUCAAUGUGAUGAGUCUGUGACGCUGCGCGGAGGAAGAGGGUAACUCGGGAGGAGGAACAGGGAGGAGGAGGGGUGAGUCAGCAGGUGGUGAAAGCGAGGCAUGGAAAUUAAGAUGGAGUAAGAGGGCUCCGGGAGAUGAGAGGAGGAGAUGGUCGGAAGUAGCUGGAAGAGCGAGCACGCUGAUGAAGGAGGAUGGAUUGCUCUUCAAGGACUUUGCCCAGAGCGCUGCCUCAAAAAACAACGGUACUCCAUGUAGAGUAGAAUAUAAGGGGGGGUUAGACAGGGGGGGGUAACAACAAGAUCUCAAGAGGAAUCCAUCCAACAGCCGCAGCACAUGAUUGAAUUUAAGCAUCUGGGAACAAGAACGCUCUGAGGCGGAGAAGAAAGGGAGCCCCGAGGGGGAGGAGAAAAAGAGCACAUACGGAUCAAAACGUGUUUGCAUAUCAAAAAACACACACAGGAAUGUUGUCCUAGAAUCCAGAUCCGCAGACACACAAAAAAAGUGUGUUAUGUUGUUUUAUCUGAAGCGAUCCGGACAAUGUUUUCCUCUUCAUCUCCACUUUGACUGAUCCUUCAAGUCCUACCUGCCAUGGAGGUACCAGACACUGCCGGGCUCAGCAGCCGCGGAACGCCGCUCCCCCCAGCAGGGGUCCGCCUGAGGAACGGCUGUGAGUGGCAUCAUGAACAAAGGUCAUGUUUGCUCACAGGGAAAUUAUACACACGUUGUUGUACACGUGACAUCCUCGCCCGGGGGGAGAAACCUGCGGAUUCCUUUGACUUAAUUAAGCGGCUGCUGAGGGAAACGCUCGAGUUAAACAAGCAUGUAAAUAAGAUUAACAUCAUGGUGGCGAAUCAUCACAGAGCGUACAGCGGAUAGAGGCGCCUCGAUUCGCUGUCCUCAGCUGUGCUUUUCCAGUUAUCUUUUGCCUUUAACAAUUCUAUCGUUCCAAGCGAAAAGGUCUCGUAAUGCAAAUUGUUUUUCUCUAUGUGUGGAUGACCAUUAAAACAAAGUGGACAAACUAGCCCACGCAACGUGGCUGGCUUCACCGGGCCGGUUGCUCUGACAACAAGUGCAGAUAAACUCAAAGCCAGCCUCACAACGUCAUUCGCUAUUUGCAAUUAUUUGGGCACAUUUUAGUUUGGACCGGUUGGUGCUGGUGGAAACAUUAUACGGGACGUACAUGUUUGAACUAAAUCUGAUGGAAUUACACCCUUUUCUGUCCAAAGCAUGAAUGCCACGUGAAUGAGGACUGACUGAACAUUUCCAAACCGCUCAUAGAACUCGACUAAAAACAUCAGAUUCCUGUCCCAUCAUUGCCAAUCAAAGGGAACAGGAUUCUUCUACCUGUUUGAUAGAGUGGAAACACGGCAGAAAGCUGUCUGCACGUAUCGCCAACGCAGCUUAUCACCAGGAAGGAGGGUCAAAGCACUGCCGGAUAAACCCUCCACUAACAAUCCCACAUUGCACGAGCAAUUUGUGGUCAUAACAUUGUGAGAAGGUCUGUCAUGUGAGGAGAGACACACCAUUAAGAGUCGAGCAGCUGUGUCAGAUCAGGCUUUCACACAGCCCACUGCUUUGUCACGUCAGAGAAAGGUUGCAGCUUGUCUUUGUCCAUCGGAGCGAGUGUUUGCACAGCGGCAAACAGGCCCAGGGCAGGUUACGAGCGGCGCGCUCAUCCAUGUAACUGUGACAUAUAAAUAUACUACAGGGAGGCUUCUACCUCUCGGCCUUGCAGGUGACAGCGGAACCAUCUCUUGUUGUGAGCUGGUCCUGCAGAAGACAAAGCGAACGUCCCAGCGGAGGAAAAAACGCAUUACAAGAAGACGACGCUAAAUAAGAUCACACUCUAAUAAUAAAUAAAUAUAGAUUUAUUCCUAUAGAGUCUUUUUCUGAGCAUUGGAGGGGACUUUUCUUCAAAGCACAUCGUAUCUUGUCGUGAGAUAUUUGGCAAGUGAGCAUCUAAGUUUAAGUGACGCAGCGAUGAUGGGAAAGCUCAGACAUCAUUACUGCACUGCUUCCUUUGACAAAAGCCAACGGAAUCCUAUCGAGGAAUUUGGGAUUUGUGCAAAAUACAAACUCACAUCCUUUCUAUUUAAAGUCUCUCGACACAAAUUGAAGGAGACAAACUGAGAGAGGGUGAAUACAUUGACCUGGAAUUCAAUCCCAUAUAAUUAAAACUGAUGGAUUGAUUCGUUAAUAGGGCAUUAUUUGCCAGCAUUUAAAGACACUUACUGAUGGGUUUGGAGUUGUCUCAGGUAUCUCCCAGCAGUUACGCUUAAGGCAUUUAGUUCAGGAGUUCAUCAGGGGGGUCAGGUCAGCUUAGGGUUCAUUAAGGUCAGGAUUAUGGUCUUCGCACUCGGGUUUCCUGCAGGAAAAGACAGCUGUCCUAGAAACUGAUCUUGUCUAAGCCUGAUCAAAUAAGAAAAGAGAGGUAUGCACCCACCUUCUAAAACUGAUCUGAUCGGGAUCAGAAUUAUAUUCUGGGCUUUUGUGUCUGUCACAGAGGUUGGCAGUAUACAAGAAUAAGAAAAAUGAUGACGGACUUUGUAACGAAAUGAUGCGUCAGUUUUGGCUCCCCGAGAUCACUGAAGGGCCCUCAACGCAAUUCUGCCUUUAACGGGUCAUGAAACAAGGUCAUGUGAUUACUUUCUAGUUAUAGCAACUUCUGUGGCACAAGGAAAAAAUAUCCUGCUGAUGUAAAACACGUCCAACCGAUGUCCAACUUACCCGUCUGUUUCCCAAAGGAUGAAUCCCUGUGACAAUAUUCACAUUCGUGAUGAAUCAGCUCAAAUCAGUUCAGGCAAUUUACUUCAGUCCAAUACUUUGAUUUAGGAUGAAAUACCUGCAAAACAAAUAACAAUCCAAUCAUUUGUGUUCAUUAACACCAGUCAACGCGGUGCGGAUGGUAAACACAUCCGCUAAGCAUUGACAUUAAGUCUUACUGAGCAUGUUAGCAACUAAAUGUCUAACGUCCAAACACAUAAUCGAUCCAAUGGAUCAGUGAAGAAUUGAUCCGUUCAAAGUCAACAAAUGUCACGUGUUUUACUGCUAAGAUGCCGUCAAGAUGUCAUCAAUUAAAAACUGCUAAGCUGAGGGGCAGUGGACCUCCAGCAUGGUGAGAUAGGAAAGGAUUACUUGUAUGAACCAGCUAAGAAGCUUAGUUACAGCAUUUAAAAAACGCUCGCGCUGAGUCAAAGGCUGAAUGGGACACGUCCGCACCGAUGGGAGAGCAAGCAGAUGAUCAUAUACAUCUUUGCAACGUGCACAUCAGAGUUGUUGUUGUUGUCCUAAUGAAGUCGCAGUGAAGAAUCUCUCAGCAGCGCAGCAUCAUUUCCUUAUUCGGUCCUAAAUAGACAUCAUCUCACAGCUUGGAGGAUGACAAGAUGCUGGUUUUCUCUCCAAGCUGGUGUCCAAAUUCAAGGUCUGUUCUCGAUUAGAGCUUGUCAGCACGCCUGCUGUCACGCGCUGGCAUCCUCCGACAGGCUGGACGGUUGUGAGACGGCCAAGAUGCACGUCUCCAAGAAGGAGCCUGUUGGCCCCAGACUCUCUGCUAUAUGUUGCACUCCAUCGCUCAAUCUCUCGCUCUGACACGGACACCGAGGAUCACAUACUGUGAUUCACUCACUGCGGCCUUCUCUGCUUCUGAGACGUCCCUCUGAAUGCUUGGCUCUUGUUUUGCUCCUUGACAUGUAAAAC
ensembl:lncRNA